GAUGAACGCUGGCGGCGUGCCUAAUACAUGCAAGUCGAGCGAACAGACGAUGAGCUUGCUCCUCUGACGUUAGCGGCGGACGGGUGAGUAACACGUGGAUAACCUACCUAUAAGACUGGGAUAACUUCGGGAAACCGGAGCUAAUACCGGAUAAUAUAUUGAACCGCAUUGUUCAAUAGUGAAAGACGGUUUUGCUGUCACUUAUAGAUGGAUCCGCGCCGCAUUAGCUAGUUGGUAAGGUAACGGCUUACCAAGGCAACGAUGCGUAGCCGACCUGAGAGGGUGAUCGGCCACACUGGAACUGAGACACGGUCCAGACUCCUACGGGAGGCAGCAGUAGGGAAUCUUCCGCAAUGGGCGAAAGCCUGACGGAGCAACGCCGCGUGAGUGAUGAAGGUCUUCGGAUCGUAAAACUCUGUUAUUAGGGAAGAACAAAUGUGUAAGUAACUAUGCACGUCUUGACGGUACCUAAUCAGAAAGCCACGGCUAACUACGUG
rnacentral:rRNA from 1 species